rnacentral:rRNA from 1 species
CCUACGGGUGGCUUCAGUGAGGGAUAUUGGUCAAUGGGGGAAACCCUGAACCAGCAACGCCGCGUGAGGGAUGACGGUUUUCGGAUUGUAAACCUCUGUCCUCUGUGAAGAUAAUUACGGUAGCAGAGGAGGAAUCUCCGGCUAACUACGGGCCAGCAGCCGCGGUAAUACGUAGGGAGCAAGCGUUGUCCGGAUUGACUGGGGGUAAAGGGUGCGUAGGCGGCUCUGCAAGUCAGAAGUGAAAUCCAUGGGCUUAACCCGGGAACUGCUUUUGAAACUGUAGGGCUUGAGUAAAGUAGAGGCAGGCGGAAUUCCCGGUGUAGCGGUGAAAUGCGUAGAGAUCGGGAGGAACACCAGUGGCGAAGGCGGCCUGCUGGGCUUUAACUGACGCUGAGGCACGAAAGCGUGGGUAGCAAACAGGAUUAGAUACCCGAGUAGUC